rnacentral:rRNA from 1 species
UGGGGAAUUUUGGACAAUGGGCGAAAGCCUGAUCCAGCAAUGCCGCGUGUGUGAAGAAGGCCUUCGGGUUGUAAAGCACUUUUGUCCGGAAAGAAAUCCUUGGCUCUAAUACAGUCGGGGGAUGACGGUACCGGAAGAAUAAGCACCGGCUAACUACGUGCCAGCAGCCGCGGUAAUACGUAGGGUGCAAGCGUUAAUCGGAAUUACUGGGCGUAAAGCGUGCGCAGGCGGUUUGCUAAGACCGAUGUGAAAUCCCCGGGCUCAACCUGGGAACUGCAUUGGUGACUGGCAGGCUAGAGUAUGGCAGAGGGGGGUAGAAUUCCACGUGUAGCAGUGAAAUGCGUAGAGAUGUGGAGGAAUACCGAUGGCGAAGGCAGCCCCCUGGGCCAAUACUGACGCUCAUGCACGAAAGCGUGGGGAGCAAACAGGAUUAGAUACCCUGGUAGUCCACGCCCUAAAACGAUGUCAACUAGUUGUUGGGGAUUCAUUUCCUUAGUAACGUAGCUAACGCGUGAAGUUGACCGCCUGGGGAGUACGGUCGCAAGAUUAAAACUCAAAGGAAUUGACGGGGUCAAGCUGUUUCCU